rnacentral:rRNA from 1 species
CACUCCGCGGCGGAUAAAUCUGACAACGACCGGUGUCAUGCACGGUGAGCGUGAGUCUUUGGUGUUCGGUGAGCGGUGUACCUUUACCUGUUCGUGCCAGCUGGAGACGAACGAGACGAAAGCGAUGAGGAGACGUAGAGGGACGAGGCCCGGUCGAGCCGCCGAAGGCAGUGGCGGCCGUUGGGGCUGCCGUGCCUCGAGACCCCUAAGCAGCUUCAGGCUGGUUUCCGGGUGGACAAGACCACCAUGAUGUUCUCGGGGGUCUCCCACAGCUGCGGCAGGUCCGGUACCGGCUGGCAGGAGACCGAUGUCCCGCCAGGGCCUCGCAGCCCCCACCCGUAGCCGUUGAAGUACCUCUAGCCCGGGGAGCUGCAGUUGGACUUCGGAGCUUUGAGCUGCACCGACGUCUUCCGGCUGGAGUAGAAGCACCUGUUGGGACACCCCCAGCCCAUGUCAAUGCAACUCCUGCUGUCGGACGACCACUGCUGACUGACCGUCCGCCGGUGCCUGCGGUGGUGCGACGAGUUCCGCGAGCAGUUCCUCGACGGGUGGGACGUCGUCCCCUCGGGGGAGAAGGAACAGCGGCUCAGGAUGCCGCCUUUCAUGCGCCGGUGUGAGCCGCAGAGGCAGCGUUCCCGGCAGGCACGGCCGCUGGAGUUCUAGUUCGAGCGUCCGCAGCGCGAGCCCCUAUCGACCCAGAGCGGCCUCCUAAAGUGCGAGCGAAUGCGCGGCGACGAGGACCUCCAAAGCUCCGAGCUGCUGUUGCGGCCGCUGCGGCGGUUCUUCUUCCGCCGCUGCCACUUCCUCGUUUAGCGCCGGCCCGCCGACCGGCUGAGCGUCCCCAGCACCAGCCUCGACAACCUAAAGUAACUGAGGUUCUCGCGGUCGCAGCUGUACAUGUUAAAGGACGAGCUGCGGCCGUACCUGGGCCACCGCCGCCUGGAUGGCCGCUGGAGCAGCCGAGGCUGCUGCAGCUCGUUGCGCGUUCACUACUUCAUGAGCUGCAUGGAGCCGCCGUCGGUACUCCUUCGGCCGAGGUUGUGGUGGUUGUGGGAGCCGCCGUAGUACUUGCCCCAGUAGUUCCUCUUCGAGUUCUAGUAGGGGUUUCUGGUGCUCACCGUGCUCGACAGGCUAGGGCAGAUGUUGCGCGACCAGUUGCUGAAGUACUUCGGUGCCUAGCUGCUCCAACUGCUCGACGACAGAAUGCCACAUCUACAGUGCCAAAUAUUACCGGUCGAGCUGCACUAAACGAGCUGGUUCCCGCGCCUCCGUACCCACGUUUUCGAGUUUACCCUGCCCGACUUCUUGAAGGACUCGGACGGCGCCGUCGGAGACAGGACGCCUAGUAGGUUCCAGUGGUUCCGGAAGCAGUCCAGGAUGUUCUUGGACGUAAAGAUGACCUAGGAGCCGCGACCGGUGAAGCACGGACGGCUGGUCGGAACGUAACGCGACUCGUACUAGCGACCGUAUUGGGUGAGAGGUCGGCCGAUCCACUCCUCCUCCUGGGCCUAGUCUAGGACAGACGGCCCAUCCUUUUCCUUUGACUUCUAUCUUCAUAUCUUUCUUUCCAACACACAUGAAAUUUCCCGCUACUUUAACUAACAUUCCACGCAACCACACACUCACCCCAAUUUCGAGCAGGCAAAAUAAGAGGCUUAUUUCUAAUGUGGAAAAUCUCGAAGAAAGUGCCAAAAUCAUACUUUAAAUACAAAGCAAAAAACCGUCUGUAAACAUCUUUACGCUACAAGUUUGUAGAGUGUGUCGCCAUGUUUUCCGCUUUUCCAUAUUGUAGUUUUACCUUUCUUGUAGAGGUUGUUGUCGGGAUAAAAUCCCGUGGUUUUUCGACAACGUCAUUUUAAAUCUCCGUGGUUUUCCACUUAAAAUCCCGUAAGCUUUUACAAGUAGAGGUUGUUGACGGGAUUUUAUCCUGUGAAGUUUGUACGUUACAAA